UUCGGUGGUCAUAGCGUGAGGGAAACGCCCGGUUACAUUCCGAACCCGGAAACUAAGCCUUCCAGCGCCGA
rnacentral:rRNA from 1 species